GGGCGCUCCCCGGCCUCGCGUGGGCCGGCCCCCGGGCUGCAGCUGGCCCCUUUAAAGCCGCAUCGCCUCGGCGUGUGUAUAUAAAAACUUAAAAAUCAAGGAAAGCAACUGGCCCAACUCACCUAGGCAGAAAGUUUCAGACCCAGAAUUAAGAUCAUGAGCCACCUUCACUGUAGAGCAGCACUGUCCUCUCAAAUGUCCUUUGGUAAACGUAGCAGAUCUGAAAGCUACAGACAGACUCUUCAGAAGUAGCCCAUGAGCCCCAAGGAGUCCACAGACCUGAUUUGCAGGAAAAGAGG